CAAAGCAGGCUCCAGGCUCUGAGCUGUCAGCACAGAGCCUGGCACGGGGCUCAAACUCACGGGCCGCGAGAUCAUGACCUGAGCCGAAGUCAGAUGCUCAACUGACUGAGCCACCCAGUCGCCCUUAACUUUCUUAUAAUUCAGUGUAUGUUGUUACUCGACUCAACAUCUAACCCCUUAUUGCACCAGAAAGUAUGCUGAAAUUUCAGUAGGAAGAAAUGCUUCUACCAAAUGCAGAAUACAAAAAUGGUUUCUCUACAGCCUUCGAGUUAAAGGCUGAGCUUGUGAACAUCUGGAAGUGUAGGCAAUUCACAUCCUCAAGGGUACUUUGACCACUAGGGCGUGGGAACCACAAAGGAAUACUCUCCUCCGGUAAGCAAUCCCAUGGUGAACUACUUCGACAUGAUUUCCCUCAGCGUCCCCCACAACACUGAGCCCCGGUCUCCACAGUGGUAAUCAGUUCCCUGUUACUUUUCCUGCCCCUCAUCUGUUUUGCUUUCUCCACUUCCCAUCCCUAUUGUUCUUGGGGAGGAAUUUCCCGAAAUAAAGGACCUGACCUAAAACCCUUUUCAGGAGGCUGCUUUUUGGAAGAACCCAAGUGAAGGAGAAUUUUGUUUGGGUUGAUAUGGGUUCACAGAAUUGACUUUACCCAAUUAAGAUAUUUCUGAAAUUUUAUGGGUAAUUCAAAACAUUCUAAACAGUAUUUUGCUCAUUGAUUGACAUUUCAGUUUUAGAAAUGUUUUCUCAUUAUUUUGUUGUCAAACUUUAAUUCGCAUAGUCUUCUAACUCUUUUAGCAUUUUACCUAGGAUAUCUUCCAGCUUUUGUACCAAAGAAUCAUCUGUAAAUAAGUAUUCAAAUGUAUUAGCAAUGUAGUUAUUUAAAGGAACUAUUUAAGAAAUAAUUUCUGGGCACCUGGUUGGCUCAGUC